rnacentral:rRNA from 1 species
CCUACGGGGGGCAGCCGUGAGGAAUAUUGGUCAAUGGACGAGAGUCUGAACCAGCCAAUUAGCGUGAAGGAUGAAUGCCCUAUGGGUUGUAAACUUCUUUUAUAUGGGAAUAAAAUGUUCCAAGUGUGUGAUUUUGUAUGUAACAUAUGAAUAAGGAUAGGCUAACUCCGUGCAAGCAGCCGCGGUAAUACGGAGGAUCCGAGCGUUAUCCGGAUUUAUUGGGUUUAAAGGGAGCGUAGGUGGAUUGUUAAGUCAUCUGUGAAAGUUUGCGGCUCAACCGUAAAAUUGCAGUUGAAACUGGCAGUCUUGAGUACAGUAGAGGUGGGCGGAAGUCGUGGUGUAGCGGUGAAAUGCUUAGAUAUCACGAAGAACUCCGAUUGCGAAGGCAGCUCACUGGACUGCAACUGACACUGAGGCUCGAAAGUGUGGGUAUCAAACAGGAUUAGAUACCCUUGUAGUC